UACGGAAGGCAGCAGUGGGGAAUAUUGCACAAUGGGCGCAAGCCUGAUGCAGCCAUGCCGCGUGUAUGAAGAAGGCCUUCGGGUUGUAAAGUACUUUCAGUCGUGAGGAAGGUGUUAAGGUUAAUAACCUUAGCAAUUGACGUUAGCGACAGAAGAAGCACCGGCUAACUCCGUGCCAGCAGCCGCGGUAAUACGGAGGGUGCGAGCGUUAAUCGGAAUUACUGGGCGUAAAGGGCACGCAGGCGGUUAAUUAAGUUGGAUGUGAAAUCCCCGGGCUUAACCUGGGAAUGGCAUUCAAGCUGGUUAGCUAGAGUCUUGUAGAGGGGGUAGAAUUCCAUGUGUAGCGGUGAAAUGCGUAGAGAUGUGGAGGAAUACCGGUGGCGAAGGCGGCCCCUGGACAAAGGCUGACGCUCAUGUGCGAAAGCGUGGGGAGCAAACAGGGAUUUAGAUACC
rnacentral:rRNA from 1 species